GACGAACGCUGGCGGCGUGCUUAACACAUGCAAGUCGAACGGAAAGGCCCUGCUUUUGUGGGGUGCUCGAGUGGCGAACGGGUGAGUAACACGUGAGUAACCUGCCCUUGACUUUGGGAUAACUUCAGGAAACUGGGGCUCAUAUCGGAUAGGAGCUCCUGCUGCAUGGUGGGGGUUGGAAAGUUUCGGCGGUUGGGGAUGGACUCGCGGCUUAUCAGCUUGUUGGUGGGGUAGUGGCUUACCAAGGCUUUGACGGGUAGCCGGCCUGAGAGGGUGACCGGCCACAUUGGGACUGAGAUACGGCCCAGACUCCUACGGGAGGCAGCAGUGGGGAAUAUUGCACAAUGGGCGGAAGCCUGAUGCAGCAACGCCGCGUGCGGGAUGACGGCCUUCGGGUUGUAAACCGCUUUCGCCUGUGACGAAGCGUGAGUGACGGUAAUGGGUAAAGAAGCACCGGCUAACUACGUG
rnacentral:rRNA from 1 species